UACGGAGGGUGCAAGCGUUAAUCGGAAUUACUGGGCGUAAAGCGUGCGCAGGCGGUUUGUUAAGUCCGUUGUGAAAGCCCCGAGCUCAACUUGGGAAUUGCAGUGGAUACUGGCAGGCUGGAGUACGGUAGAGGAAGGUGGAAUUCCCGGUGUAGCAGUGAAAUGCGUAGAUAUCGGGAGGAACAUCAGUGGCGAAGGCGAUUACCUGGGGUUGAUCUGACACUGAGGAACGAAAGCUAGGGGAGCAAACGGG
rnacentral:rRNA from 1 species